GUCGCGUCGAGGCGCCGCGCGCAGGCGCGAAGAGAAUUAAGCGGUUGACGCUUUCUGGGAGGGCUGCUGUACGCCCGUAGGACUGUUGAAGCUCACUCAUUCCUUUACCACCGCCGGGAUUGAGGGCCUAUGUAGUCCUGGGCUGGUCUAUGGAUAUGGCAGUCUUUGGGUUGGAAAGUUCUGGAGGCUGGAAGUCCGAAAUAAAGGUGUCAGCAGGAUCAUGUUUCCUCUGAGACUAGGUAAAACCCUUCCUUGCCCCUUCUUAGUUUGUGGUCCAGCAAUCCUUGGUGUUCUUUGGCUUGUACCUGCCUUCCUCCAGUCUCUUAACUCUGUUCUCUUGUGGUGUUCUGUGUCUCAUCUCUUAAAAGAACACUAGUCCCGUUGGAUAAAGGGCCCAUCCCACUCCAGUAUGACCUGAUCUUAACUAACUACAUCUGCAAUGACACUAUUUCCAGAUAAAGUCACAUUCUAAGGUCCAGGAAGGACAUGAAUG